rnacentral:rRNA from 1 species
CUUGGAAGCAGCCAUUCAUUUAAAGAGUGCGUAACAGCUCACUAGUCGAGGAGUUUGGCGUGGAUAAUAAUCGGGCAUUAAGUGUUUUACCGAAGCUAUGGGAUACGUAAGUAUCGGUAGGGGAGCAUUCCACUCAGCGUUGAAGGCGAAGCGUGAGCUUUACUGGAGCGUGUGGAAAAGCAAAUGUAGGUAUAAGUAACGAUAAAGGGGGUGAGAAACCCCCUCGCCGCAAGACUAAGGUUUCCUGAUCAACGCUAAUCGGAUCAGGGUUAGUCGGGUCCUAAGGCUCAGCCGAACGGUGAGGCCGAUGGCAGAACAGGUUAAUAUUCCUGUACUACCUAUAAGAGUGAUGUGGAGACGGAGGAGUGACAACGCCGCGGACUGACGGAAUAGUCCGUUAAAGGGUGUAGAUGUUGAUUAUCCCAGGCAAAUCCGGGAUAAGAGUCGAACCUGAUAGUAUACCAAUUUCCUCGGAAAACGGUAAUAGUGCGUGUAAACAUACUCCCAAGAAAAUCCGCUAAACUUAAUCUUAUAGGUACCCGUACCGUAAACGGACACACGUAGUCGGGUUGAAUAUACUCAGGCGCUUGAGUGAAUCACGGUUAAGGAACUAGGCAAAUUGACCCUGUAACUUCGGGAUAAAGGGUCCCUACCCGGUGACGGGAGGGCGCAGAGAAUAGGUCCAGGCAACUGUUUAACAAAAACACAGGGCUGUGCAAAAUUGAAAGAUCACGUAUACAGCCUGACACCUGCCCGGUGCUGGAAGGUUAAGAGGAGAUGUCAUCGCAAGAGAAGCAUUGAAUUGAAGCCCCAGUAAACGGCGGCCGUAACUAUAACGGUCCUAAGGUAGCGAAAUUCCUUGUCGGGUAAGUUCCGACCUGCACGAAUGGUGUAAUGAUCUGGACACUGUCUCAACCGUGAGCUCAGUGAAAUUGUAGUAUCGGUGAAGAUGCCGAUUACCCGCGAUGGGACGAAAAGACCCCGUGAACCUUUACUAUAGCUUAACAUUGAAUUUGGGUAAUUGAUGUGUAGGAUAGGCCGGAGACUUUGAAGCAGGCACGCCAGUGUUUGUGGAGUCGCUGUUGAAAUACGGCCCUUUGGUUAUUUGAGUUCUAACUCCAAAAAUGGAGGACACUGUUUGGUGGGUAGUUUGACUGGGGUGGUCGCCUCCAAAAGCGUAACGGAGGCUUCUAAAGGUGCCCUCCGGCCGAUUGGUAACCGGCCUUAGAGUGUAAUGGCAUAAGGGCGCUUGACUGGGAGACUAACAAGUCGAUCAGGUAGGAAACUAGAGCAUAGUGAUCCGGUGUUUCCGUAUGGAAGGGACAUCGCUCAAAGGAUAAAAGGUACUCCGGGGAUAACAGGCUGAUCCCUCCCAAGAGCUCAUAUCGACGGAGGGGUUUGGCACCUCGAUGUCGGCUCGUCACAUCCUGGGGCUGGAGAAGGUCCCAAGGGUUGGGCUGUUCGCCCAUUAAAGUGGCACGCGAGCUGGGUUCAGAACGUCGUGAGACAGUUCGGUCUCUAUCUAUCGUGGGCGUAUGAAAUUUGCGUGGCUCUGACACUAGUACGAGAGGACCGUGUUGGACAGACCUCUGGUUUGCCGGUUGUGCCGCCAGGUGCAUUGCCGGGUAUCUAAGUCUGGAUCGGAUAAGUGCUGAAAGCAUCUAAGUACGAAGCCGGCCACAAGAUUAGAUUUCUCAGGGUCGUUGU